rnacentral:rRNA from 1 species
GUGUAUGGCUAUACCACUCCAAACGCGCCCAAUCUCGACUGAUCUCAGAAGCUAAGCAGGGUCGAGCCUGAUUAGUGCUUGCCUGGGAGAAAGCAAAACCUACUCA